rnacentral:rRNA from 1 species
AUUGAACGCUGGCGGCAUGCUUUACACAUGCAAGUCGAACGGCAGCGCGGGCUUCGGCCUGGCGGCGAGUGGCGAACGGGUGAGUAAUGCAUCGGAACGUGCCCAGUAGUGGGGGAUAGCCCGGCGAAAGCCGGAUUAAUACCGCAUACGACCUGAGGGUGAAAGCGGGGGACCGAAAGGCCUCGCGCUAUUGGAGCGGCCGAUGUCGGAUUAGCUAGUUGGUGGGGUAAAGGCUUACCAAGGCGACGAUCCGUAGCUGGUCUGAGAGGACGACCAGCCACACUGGGACUGAGACACGGCCCAGACUCCUACGGGAGGCAGCAGUGGGGAAUUUUGGACAAUGGGGGCAAGCCUGAUCCAGCCAUGCCGCGUGCGGGAAGAAGGCCUUCGGGUUGUAAACCGCUUUUGUUCGGGAAGAAAGCCUCUGGGCUAAUACCCCGGGGGGAUGACGGUACCGGAAGAAUAAGCACCGGCUAACUACGUG